GAAGUUCACUGAACCUUAUCAUUUAAWGGAAGGAGAAGUCGCAACAAGGUUUCCGUAGGUGAAUUUGCGGAAGGAUCAUUGUCAAUGGCCCGCAAGGAACGAACGAGGGUAGACCUACAAACCAUGUGACUAGAACGAAUGGCGGAUGGGGGGCAGUCCCUUUCCUCUCCCGCCACCGCUGGACUGGCGCGAGGUCGGGCGUGGCGAACGACCGACCCAUAAGGCGCGAGUGGCACCAAGGACCCCAAGAUGAGCGCAGCCGGGGAGAGGAGGACAGGCGUCACCUCCCCCAUACCGCGAGAGGGAAUCGUCAAAUUCUCAUCUCGGACGACUCUCGGCAACGGAUGUCUCGGCUCUCGCAUCGAUGAAGAACGUAGCGAAAUGCGAUACUUGGUGUGAAUUGCAGAAUCCUGCGAACCAUCAAGUCUUUGAACGCAAGUUGCGCUCAAGGCCACCCGGCGGACGGCACGCUUGCCUGGGCUUCACGACCUGCGAUGCCUGCACCCGGCCCCCGGGUGACUGGCAGAGACUGGCCGAUCGUGCCCCUCACGGGUGUGGCGAGCCGAAAGCUAUGCACGAUGACGAUACACAUCGAGUGCCCCCCCGAAGGGGCGUAGGGAGGGCGUUGGGUAGUCACACGACGGCUCCUCUUAGAGGAGCCACUGCGAUCAUAUGUUGCGCGCGUCGCCCGCUCCAAGGGGACGUAGGCGCCUCCCCCCCUCGAGACUAUGUCGCGACCCCAAGUCAGGCUGGGCCACCGCCCGAGUUUAAGCAUAUUAAUAA
rnacentral:rRNA from 1 species